rnacentral:rRNA from 1 species
GGUUUUUAAUAAUAAGUAAAAAUUUGGCCUGCCCAGUGAGAGUUUAACGGCCGCAAUAUUUUGAUUGUGCUAAGGUAGCAUAAUCAAUUGUCUAUUAAUUGUAGACUGGAAUGAAAGGUUUGACUUAAAAUUGAUUGUCUAAAACUAAAUUUGAACUUUGUUAUUUUGUGAGGAAACAGAAAUGAAAAAGAUAGACGAGAAGACCCUAUUGAGCUUUAUAAAAUAAAUAAAGGAAUGAGUGAAGAAAAGUAUUAUAAAAUUUAUUUUGCUGGGGCGGUGGAAAUAAAAUAGAACAAUUUUAGGAGAUGUUAUUGAUAAAUGAGGAUUGAUCCAAAAAUAUUGAUUAAAGACUAAGUUACUGUAGGGAUAACAGCGUAAUUUUAUUUGGAAGUUCAUAUUUAUGAUAAAGUUUUCGACCUCGAUGUUGGUUUAAGAGACCUUUUUGGCGCAGGAGUUAGAGAGAGGAAGUCUGUUCGACUGUGAAAAUCUUAUAUGAUCUGAGUUAAAACCGGAGA